rnacentral:rRNA from 1 species
GACGAACGCUGGCGGCGUGCCUAACACAUGCAAGUCGAACGAAGGAUGUUUUCGGAAUAUUCUUAGUGGCGGACGGGUGAGUAACGCGUGAACAAUCUGCCCCGUACAAAGGGAUAGCCUCGGGAAACCGGGAUUAAAACCAUAUAACGCUUUAGUACCGCAUGGUAAUAAAGUCAAAUCGAUUAAGAGGUAUGGGAUGAGUUCGCGUCUGAUUAGCUAGUUGGUGAGGUAAGGGCUCACCAAGGCGACGAUCAGUAGCCGGCCUGAGAGGGUGAACGGCCACACUGGAACUGAGACACGGUCCAGACUCCUACGGGAGGCAGCAGUGGGGAAUAUUGCACAAUGGAGGGAACUCUGAUGCAGCGACGCCGCGUGAGUGAAGAAGGUCUUCGGAUCGUAAAACUCUGUCCUUGGUGAAGAAAAGGACGGUAGCCAAGGAGGAAGCCCCGGCUAACUACGUG